CUCCCAUAGUGAUCAGCCAAACCAGAAGAGAAGAGAAACCAAGGAAGAACAAACCCUAGGUGGGACAAAUCAAAGAGAAAGUGUUGGAAUUCAAGGAUUUGAUCAAGCAAAGGUAAAAUUUCUUUGAUUUUGCUAGUGAUUUACCUUACCCAUGCAUUUUCCCUUAAUUUCCAUGGUUAAAUUACAUGUUUUCAUGAUGAAUUCAUGGCUGGUCAAAAUGGGUAUGGAGAGAGAAUGAUCUUGGAUUGGUUUGAUUUUUAGAUAUGUUAAUGUUUUUAGGUGAUUAAUGAUGUGUAGCAUGAAAACAAGUGCAGAAAACCACCAAAGGUUUGGAACCCAUCAAUAGUCGAAUUCUCUAAGUGAAUAAAGAGGAAGAAUGGGAUGUUAUUCUAGGUGAUUUGAUUAAGAAAUAAUAGUUUUUGGUGUAGGAAUUAAUGAAUUAUGGAGAGAAAAUUAAGUAGGAAAAAUCACGGAGUCAGUGUACCAUUAUUGGCUGAAUUUCUAGGGGAAUAUUAGCUGAUGAUCUUGAUGUUUAUUUGAGGAAUUAUGAUGAAUAAUGAUGAAUUAUGAGCCUAGAAAAAUAAUGGGAAUUUUCGGAGUAAAAAUAAGAAUUUUUACCCACUAAGGGUAUUUUCAUAAUUUGCUAUCGGGACUGAUAAAUUGAAUCUCAUUCACAGUCACUAAGGUAAUUUAAGUAUAAUUGGAGUGUAGAAAGUGAGAAGAAUUGAUUUGGAGUUAAAUUGGAGAUAAUAGGCCGAAUUAGGUCAGCACCGCAUUUAAGCUGUAGUCGGAUAAGUUGCAUGUCAUAUCAUGCAUAUAUACCGAGCCUGAAUUGAUUUUAUAAUGGUCAAGCAUUGAUGUGGUGAAUUAUGUAUUGUACAUUGUGGAUAGGUGGUGAGCAAAUUACACUGGUAAAAGUACCAAAAUUGUGCUUGAAGACUGGGAUUAGGAGUACAUCGACUCCUAGAACUGUGAGUGGACAAUUUAUCGUCUUAAAUAUCUAGAGUAAUUAUACUUGUUUGAUGCUUUUAUUGAAUGGUGAAUUUAAAUUAUAAAAUAUUAUGUUUUCCAAUUAAAAUGUUUUUUAAUAAAAAAUGAGAUUUAUACUGGUUUUGAAAACUAAUAUUGUUUUGGGAAAAUUGAGUAUAUGGAGACUGUGUUGAAAUUUAUGAUUUUAUAUGUUAUUGAAAUUGUGGCUUAUGACACUAUGGUAGCAUGAUGGCUAAAUUUUUGAGGUUGGCAUGAAAUAUAUGAACAGUUUUGGAUUGGUCUCGGUAGACUGGAUUACAUUUUAUUCGCCAUAUUAUGCUACUGGAAUUUUUAUGGGUCUGGUGGUAUAUUAAACGGUCACUGCAGUGGUGGGGGUUUCCGUGGACUGCCUAUGAGAGGGGCACGGUAACUCAAUUAUAUACUUACCUCCGGGGGGAGAUGUUGGGUGAAGUAUCUCCUGAGGUAUGAUUUGAGUGCACCUCACGUUCGGGCCACCACGUGAGAGUGAGACUCAGCCAACGCCAAGGAACGGCUGUGUGUCAGAUGUGAAAACAUGUUUAUGGGUAUGGGUCAUUGAACAGCCUUGGCGGUCUCAGUGGGAUACCUUGACGAAGGUACCCGCGAGAAUGAUUCUGGCAGGGGCCAAGUUUAAGAAAUUCAUAAGCCGAAAAAUUUUGAUGAAAAGAAAUUAUUUGGUAUAGAUUGAAACGAAUUUUAUGUUAUGAACAUUAUUGAGAUAUAAUGUUUUUAUAUUGUCUCCAUCUACUUGGCUUUAGAUGCUUUUGAUGGUAAUUGUUUACUCACUGAGAUUAUGUAAUCAUAAUCUCACCCCUCUUCCUAUCUAUUUUUCAGGCUCAGGACAAUUUGUUGAUAGUUGAUUAAGACGAGAAUUAAUCUCAGAGUUACAUCCUAGAAAGUAAGGGUUCGUAGCCCUACAUCUUCUUAGUUAGUUGGGGGCCCACGUGUCACUGUUAAAGUAAUUUUAUUCUUCAGUUAUUUGAUUUAAAGUAUGUAUGAAUAUAUUUAGCUUUUACACCAUGUUUUUGGCGAGUUUCGAUAUUUUCGAAGAAAAUGAUGAAAAUGCCCCUGUGAGCCAG
rnacentral:lncRNA from 1 species